ensembl:lncRNA
GGCGGAAGCGCGGGCGCGCGGACGACGCCCGCUGGCCGAGCCCGGCCCUGGACUUCCUGAAGAUGGCCCGGCACGUGUAUCUAGUUCCCUGGCCAGGGAUUGAAGCCGGGACCCCACGUGCCGAGUCCCAGCCACUGGAUCACCAGGGAAGCCUCUCUGCUUCUCUGUUUCACACUCCAGGCAGGAAGUGCGUGCAUGUUGCUGGGCAGCCACCGCCACCGUCCACUCCGAGCGCCUCACAAUGAAUCUUUUAUGGUUACAAAUUGACCCUCUUUGUCUCUACUGAUAAUCUUGAUUAAACUUAAUUUUGUGUAUCAGUAAAAUAGCUAUAAUCUCUCUUUUGACUGCCACAUUCAGCACUUUUGAUGGCCUUCAUUCCUUUCAGUAGAUCUGAGUUUUCACUGGGUAUCAUUUGUCUUCAGCCUG